rnacentral:misc_RNA from 1 species
UUCUUCUGUUACCAGCACACUGUAUUCCUCAAAGAAACAAAAAGGAAAGUUAAUGCUAUAGAACUAACAAUUGAUCUGAUGGUCAUUGCUAUACUGCACAAGUUGAGGGAAGAAUAUCAUCUGAUUCACAUGAAAAAUAGACCAACUUAAAAUACAUUGGAACACACCUGUAGAGUGGCAGUAACAACAUAUUUUGGAAGCUUCCUGUUAAUUAUGAAAAUAACAUAAAUUCCAGUCCUAGAAGCAUGUAAAGCAUGCUAAUAUAUAGCUAGCUGAUACAUCAGAAUGCACCCAAAAACUCACCAAAUAUCUUUCAUAAGCAGUUCUAUGGGGUUAUCUAUCAGACCACUAACGGAAACAGAAUAUCUUUCUAUAUCAUCAACAACUGGUAUGGGUCCAUGAUUUCUCUUGUAGAAGAAAUCCACUGGCGUUACAUAAGAGCUAACCAAGGCCGAACGAGGUGGCUCAGCAUUAAAAGGUUGCUUGGAAUUGAUUUUGAGGGAAGGGUGACGAGGAGGUUCCUGCGAAUAAUCCGAGGGUCCUCUAAUUCCAGGCAUUCGUCAAAAGCUUAUCUUCAAAUUGCAAAAUAGGAAAAUCAUUCACAGAGACAAAGAGAAAGUGUUAUGGGUUUGCUAAAUUCUUGACGACAAUGGUGAAACUGUGUGAGUAGGAGGUGAAAACCUUAAUUAUCUCUAGGUGUCUGUAACGAUUCCUGAUAACUAUUCACAGCCGAAUCAAGCACCGUUCAUCUACAGCGGAUUUGGGAUCACUAGUCACUAUAUGGCGAGGAGACCUAAGUUGGUAGUGACGACAAAUAUUAUUGUUCUGUUAGGGUGGAAUUAGUGGCGUGAUGUGAUGGGCUUGUUGGGAUUGGUGGUAAGUGCUAACUGCUAAGUGGUCAAACUCCUUUGUGCCUGUGGGAGUGAUGCCUUAUAGGUAUAAUCGUUAACGACCUCCAUCAAAUGUUUCCGCCAAAAAGACCAACCUUCUUUCCAAAACGCUACCUUUACUCGGGCUGCGCUUCCCCCCCUCGCGCACCAAAAUCAGCAUUGCCACAUCUCUCUCUCCUUGCAGACAAAUGUAUCUCAAUGACCCAACUCAAGCAAAUUCAUGCUCAAAUGAUUGUCACCUCUCGCAUUUCUGACCACUUCGCCGCAAGCCGUUUACUUUCCUUUUGCGCUCUUUCCGAUUCCGGGGAUAUCAAUUAUGCCAUAAAACUAUUCAAUAUCACUCAAGAUCCAAAUAUCUUCAUGUGGAAUACUCUCAUUAGAGCGCUAGCGAAUAGCCCAAAUCCCAGUAGAGCUGUGUUUCUUUAUAUACAGAUGAGGAGACAAGGUGUUUGUCCAAAUAACCACACCUUCCCUUUUCUUCUCAAGGGUUGUUGCAGCUCUUGCUUACCUGAAUCUUGCAUGCAGGUGCAUACCCAUGUUUUGAAAUUUGGCUUGGAGCUUGAUUUGCAUGUUGUUAAUGGGUUAGUGAGAGGUUACUGUGUUUCGAGUCAUUUGAGUAGUGCGCGCAGGUUAUUCGAUGAAUUUUCUGAGAGGGAUUUAAGCAUUUGGACCACGAUGAUUACUGGCUAUGCUCAAAAUUUUUGCGCUAUUGAAGCUUUAGUGUUGUUUGAUCGGAUGCUUGUUGAGGGUUUUGAACCGAAUGGUUCGACCGUUGCUUCUGUGUUGUCUGCAUGUGCUCGUUCAGGUUGCCUAGAAUUGGGAGAGAGAAUUCAUGCCUUUAUGCUAGAGAGAGGUGUUCAAAUGGGAGUGAUAUUAGGUACUGCAUUGGUGCAUAUGUAUGCGAAGAAUGGAGCAAUCUCUAUGGCUACAAAAUUGUUUGAUUCCAUGCCUGAAAGAAACAUUGCUACUUGGAAUGCGAUGUUAUGUGGAUUGGCCAGUCAUGGGCAUGCUGAAGAAGUACUUGCGCUUUUUAGGAAGCUAGAGAAAGAGGAUUUAGUACCAAAUGAUGUGACUUUUGUUGGGGUUUUGUCUGCCUGCUGCCACGCAGGCUUAAUUGACGUUGGUUACAAGAUCUUCAAUUCCAUGAAGGAGGUGUAUGGCAUUGAACCCAAGAUUGAACAUUAUGGAUGCAUGGUGGAUCUUCUGGGGCGAGGUGGGAAAUUAGUUGAGGCUGAGGAGUUGAUAAAAAGAAUGGCAUGGAAGGCUGAUGUUGUGAUUUUGGGAGCCUUGUUAGCUGCUUGUAAAAAUCAGGGGAACAUUGAGAUUGCUGAAAGAGUGGUGAAAGAUAUUCUAGCCUUGGAACCUCAUAAUCAUAUGGUCCAUGUUGUUUUGUCCAAUAUGUUUGCAGAGGCUGGAAGGUGGCAGGAUGUAUGGAGGCUUAGGAAGGUCAUGAAAGUAGGGAAUUUGAAGAAAACACCUGGGUGGAGCCUUGUGGAUGGUGAUAAGUAAUUGUAUAUGUACAAGAUAGCCAGCAUUGUUACUCCAUGAAGAAAGUUUCAUUAGGAAUCAGUACGGAAAGGUGGGCAUGAUCAAGGGCGUGUGAUUCACAGUGUUGUGGGUCCCUUUUCAGCCAGCCAAUUAUGAAAAGUCUGGUGGGACACUGGAUAUUAUAGACUUAAUGGAACAUUAAUUCUUUCAAUUUUGGAACUUUUUGUGUACUACAAGAAAAGCUUUAGUCUAUCAUGAUUUGGUACCAGAAUGAUUGGCUUCGGCGGCAUUGUCAACUUCUUACCAUGGUCUAUGGACACCGAUAAAAAGGAAAGGGCACAAAAAGGCUUAUGAUUUUUGGAGGGUAUGCAUCUCCUCACAAGUACUUACAAAUAACCAAGGGAGAAAUAGUGCAUUAGAGGGAGAAUAUGGUCAAAGGAACUCUGUGGUUUAAAGUUAGUUUUGAGAGUUCUGGAGAUGUACAGAAUGGUUUCGGUUGUACAUAUAUAAAUAGAGAGAGAGAGAGAGAG